GUUCUUGUAGCUCAGUUGAUUAGAGCACCCGUUUAGUAAGUGGGAGGUCUUGAGUUCGACUCUCAAUGAGAGCA